GCAAUGGUGGUUUAGUGGUAGAAUUCUAGCGUCCCACGCAGGAGACCUGGGUCCGAUUCCCGGCCAACGCA
rfam:Danio rerio chromosome 4, GRCz11 reference primary assembly.